UACGUAGGCAGCGAGCGUUGUUCGGAGUUACUGGGCGUAAAGGGUGUGUAGGCGGUUCUUUAAGUUUGGUGUGAAAUCUCCCGGCUCAACCGGGAGGGUGCGCCGAAUACUGAGGGACUAGAGUACGGGAGAGGAAAGUGGAAUUCCUGGUGUAGCGGUGAAAUGCGUAGAUAUCAGGAGGAACACCGGUGGUGCAGACGGCUUUCUGGACCGUAACUGACGCUGAGACACGAAAGCGUGGGUAGCAAACAGG
rnacentral:rRNA from 1 species